rnacentral:tRNA from 1 species
GGCCCGUUGGAGAAACGGUUAACUCAUCGCCCUCUCAAGGCGACACCCACGGGUUCGAACCCCGUACGGGCUACCA